UUUCAGACUGUGACUUUGCAUUUCCACUACAGCAGGUGGCAUAAAAGACGUCUGACUGCUAGAAGAUGCUGUGAGUGCACCAAGACUUCAUCACCUUGUUAAAACCAUUCAAUCCUGUUGGAUCAUAAUGCUCAUUAAAUGAAGGCUAUCAAGUACUGUCAUUGAAGGUACAUCACUGAAUAAAAACAGAGAAAGAAGAAAAAAAGAGCAGAAAUGAGUAGUUGUUUCAUCCAAUAUCACAUUUCUGCAGGGUCGUGUUUGAUUCCUGAAAGCAUCAAGCUCAAAGUCUAUACUGAGAAUUGGUACUGACAGGGAAUAUGGAUGCUGGGAGUGCAGAUGGCUGAGGAAUGCCCUUUUCCAGACUCAGAACUCCUGUGGGGAACUUUGUGUCCUUACAGAGCACAGCACAGCGGUGUUGCAGCUGGUCCCACCAAACCCAGGACUGUUUCCAGGCACACAACUAAGUGAUGGGGAGACAAAUGUGCUGCAGGGUGCCAUUUUUAUGAUCAUUUCUUAUACCCCCUCAAACGAACUGCCUGCUUUAGCAAAGACUGAGACUUGGCCUUGCUUGUAGGGAUGUUC